rnacentral:rRNA from 1 species
CUACGGGUCGCUCCAGUGGGGAAUCUUGGACAAUGGGUGCAAGCCUGAUCCAGCCAUGCCGCGUGAGUGAAGAAGGCCUUAGGGUCGUAAAGCUCUUUCGCCAGAGAUGAUAAUGACAGUAUCUGGUAAAGAAACCCCGGCUAACUCCGUGCCAGCAGCCGCGGUAAUACGGAGGGGGUUAGCGUUGUUCGGAAUUACUGGGCGUAAAGCGCGCGUAGGCGGAUUAGUCAGUCAGAGGUGAAAUCCCAGGGCUCAACCCUGGAACUGCCUUUGAUACUGCUAGUCUUGAGUUCGGGAGAGGUGAGUGGAAUUCCGAGUGUAGAGGUGAAAUUCGUAGAUAUUCGGAGGAACACCAGUGGCGAAGGCGGCUCACUGGCUCGAUACUGACGCUGAGGUGCGAAAGUGUGGGGAGCAAACAGGAUUAGAUACCCUCGUAGUC